rnacentral:tRNA from 1 species
GGGGAUGGAUGGGUGCUGGUGUGCCCUCUGGUCUUCAAAACCAGUGCGAGGGGUUAGGAGCCUCUUGGGUGAGUUCGAUUCUCACACAUUCCCGCCA